CCUACGGGUGGCAGCAGUGGGGAAUAUUGGACAAUGGGGGCAACCCUGAUCCAGCCAUGCCGCGUGUGUGAAGAAGGCCCUCGGGUUGUAAAGCACUUUCAGUGAGGAAGAACGCCUGGUGGUUAAUACCCAUCAGGAAAGACAUCACUCACAGAAGAAGCACCGGCUAACUCCGUGCCAGCAGCCGCGGUAAUACGGAGGGUGCGAGCGUUAAUCGGAAUUACUGGGCGUAAAGCGUGCGUAGGUGGCUUGAUAAGCCGGUUGUGAAAGCCCCGGGCUCAACCUGGGAACGGCAUCCGGAACUGUCAAGCUAGAGUGCAGGAGAGGAAGGUAGAAUUCCCGGUGUAGCGGUGAAAUGCGUAGAGAUCGGGAGGAAUACCAGUGGCGAAGGCGGCCUUCUGGACUGACACUGACACUGAGGUGCGAAAGCGUGGGUAGCAAACAGGAUUAGAUACCCGUGUAGUC
rnacentral:rRNA from 1 species